GAGUGAUGAAGGUAUAAAUGUGCCAACUGCGAUCAUGAGUUCUGUGACCCUUUUCUUUGUGUUACUGAUCUACUGUCUGAUGGCAAAAAAUGGGAUUUUUCAGACAGAUCAAGUUUACACUCAGAGUCAACCACGAAAUGAGAAUCUGAGCUCUGAUGACCUGAAUUAUGCUGCUCCAACUUUUCACCCCAAAGCUGGAAGCAACAGAAGACCUGCAGCAGAGAGAGAGCUGGAGACAACUGCACUGUAUGGAGCCACGAGAUAAAUUCAUGUCAGACUUUAGGCUGUUUUUAUUUGAGUUUUGUUUUUUUCAAACAUUAGCAUUUCAAGUUCUGUUUGCAGAAGAUUCAAUAAAUCUGAUAAAUGUGACAGUAUUGCAUAGAGAAAGCCAGAUGGGUGGACUUGAUUCAUGUAAACCUGAACUGGUGUGAUUGUUUGUCAUUUAGCCUGAUUGUUUUAUAUUAUCAUUAGUUCUCAUAUUUCAUAGAUUCUUUGCUGCUGCUUUGCCAAUGUUGUGGUGUGAUUAUCACUCUGUUUCUGUUUUUUUUUUUUUUUUCUGACAAUGCUGCAAGAAAUAUUUCCCAAUAAUAAAGUGAUUCUGACAUUGACACCUUUAAAGCAAAUGACCUAAUUCAGCAGAGAUCCAGCCAAUUGGUGCUAUCAGUCUCACAAUGAGUGGAAUGGAGAUCAUAUGAUUGCAGUGAGUGUCUGAAGUGAUUGGUCAUAAAAGUCCAUCACUGGUUCAUCAGCAUUCCUGGCUGCCAUUACAGCACAAAGACUAAAGAAAACUCCAAGCAGCUCAGAGAAAUGUUCAUUGAAAGAAUAAGUCAGGGGAUGGAUACAAAAAAAUUCUUAGACACUGAGCAUCCCCUGGAGUUCAGUUAAAUCCAUCAUCAAAAAAUGGGAGAAAUAUGAGCCAUGU